rnacentral:miRNA from 1 species
GGAGAGUGGUCGGAUUGUAGCUC